rnacentral:rRNA from 1 species
UCCCCUAGUAACGGCGAGUGAAGCGGGAUGAGCUCAAAUUUAAAAUCUGGCUGGUUUACUAGUCCGAAUUGUAGUUUAAAGAAGCGUUUUCGGUGGCAGUCUCGGUAUAAAUCCUUUGGAAUAGGGUAUCAUAGAGGGUGAGAAUCCCGUCUUUGACUGAGAAUAUGCUACUAUGUGAUACGUUUUCAAAGAGUCGAGUUGUUUGGGAAUGCAGCUCAAAAUGGGUGGUAAAUUUCAUCUAAAGCUAAAUAUUGGCGAGAGACCGAUAGCGAACAAGUACCGUGAGGGAAAGAUGAAAAGAACUUUGAAAAGAGAGUUAAACAGUGCGUGAAAUUGUUGAAAGGGAAACGCUUGACACCAGUCAUGCAGUUGGAAAAUCAGUCUCGUGAUAUGGUGAAUGAGGAGGAUACAGACCGUAAGGCUGUUCUUUUUCAUAUCAUUAUUGAUCUGGAUGCACUUUUUCAAUUGCAGGUCAACAUCAGUUUCUUCUGCUGGACAAAACCUUGGAGAAGGUGGCAGCUUAGGCUGUGUUAUAGCUCCAGGGCGAUACAGUGGAGGGGACUGAGGUUUUCGCAGCAUGUGCUCUCGGGCAAGGCUGAUUGGGUGCUGUGGGGUUGUUCAGAGUACAAUGCUUGCAUUUUGCUUUGUGUCUUCCCUACACUCGCUCAACUCGGCUCUUCCAUGCUUAGGAUGUUGACUUAAUGGUUUUAAUCGACCCGUCUUGAAACACGGACCAAGGAGUCUAACAUAUAUGCAAGUGUUUGGGUGGCAAACCCAUGCGCGUAAUGAAAGUGAACGUAGGUGCCAUCCCAUUAGGGUGCAGCAUCGACCGAUCUUGAUAUUUUUGGAUAGAUUUGAGUAAGAGCAUAUAUGCUGGGACCCGAAAGAUGGUGAACUAUGCCUUGAAUAGGGUGAAGCCAGAGGAA